rnacentral:rRNA from 1 species
AGUGAACGCUGGCGGUAGGCCUAACACAUGCAAGUCGAACGGCAGCACAGGAGAGCUUGCUCUCUGGGUGGCGAGUGGCGGACGGGUGAGGAAUACAUCGGAAUCUACUUUUUCGUGGGGGAUAACGUAGGGAAACUUACGCUAAUACCGCAUACAACCUACGGGUGAAAGCAGGGGAGCUUCGUACCUUGCGCGAUUGAAUGAGCCGAUGUCGGAUUAGCUAGUUGGCGGGGUAAAGGCCCAACAAGGCGACGAUCCGUAGCUGGUCUGAGAGGAUGAACAGCCACACUGGAACUGAGACACGGUCCAGACUCCUACGGGAGGCAGCAGUGGAGAAUAUUGGACAAUGGGCGCAAGCCUGAUCCAGCCAUACCGCGUGGGUGAAGAAGGCCUUCGGGUUGUAAAGCCCUUUUGUUGGGAAAGAAAUCCAGCUGGUUAAUACCCGGUUGGGAUGACGGUACCCAAAGAAUAGGCACCGGCUAACUUCGUGCCAGCCGCCGCGGUAA